rnacentral:lncRNA from 1 species
GGGGAGAGAGAUCCUUAUUACUACUCUGAAUGCAACACGUUGUCUCAAAACCAUCUAUAGAGCUGCAGGCCCAGAGAUGUUCCCCUACCACAGAGGUUUACUUGUGUGAGGGAACAUGGUCACCCCCAUUGGAACUGUGGCAGACUUCUCUGGAAGAAGGCAAAAAAGAUGUCAGUGAACACAAGCCUGGUCACAAAAAGGGUUCAAGAGAAAAGAACAAAGCUAGUUGCACCCAAAGGCCUGGGCUCCUCUCCAUUCUGCGUUCACCAGCCUUGCUGAUCAGCCAUGGAGAAGAGGCUGUGCUGCUCUGUUUAAAAGGACAGCAGAGCAUGUGUGCUAUCAGGGAAGCUCAGGAAGCAAUGGGCUCCCUUUGAGAAACACAGAAGAGAAAGAAUGAAUUUAUUUUAGUUGCAUGUCAAUUGCAGUGUUAACUUAAACAAUUAAUGUUAGCUUUUGGCAAGAAACUCUAACAGCUCUGUAUUUAACAUGCACCUUUACAGUAAGAGGGCUUCAAAACAAAACAUGUUCUCUUCUAUUUAGGCUCUUAUACUGCACUCAUCUCCAUGGUAGCCAACAAACAUACACCCCUUCUGCAUUUCCCAAAGCGUGUCCCGUAUGUAGGUCUGUAGGGAGUAUGUACGUCUGCUCUUACCAGGCAUUUCUCUUAGAAGUAUUAAAAUUCACUCAGGACUUCCUCCCCUUUGUCAAAGAAAGCUCUUUUGUAAGCUAGGCUUUUGAUCUGAUGGCUCCCAAUUUGUGAAAGUUUUGAAGAUCACUGCAGUAUAUUCUCAGAAACCUGGCUUCGGUUGUGUGGAGAUUUUGUCUUUACACAGUGUUGACUUGCUCGCUCUCCUUACAAAACCCAGGAGAGCUUUGGGCAGUCAGGUGCAGGCAUUUGUUGUAUAAACAGCUCCUGAAGAAGUCUCAAAGAGCUAUGAGGGGGAGGAGGGUCUGCAAACCAGAUCUGUAAUGAAGACUUCCCAAUGCAAAUGUGUUCAUAGAGGCUGCUGCCUUCUCUCAGCCUACUCCUUUCCAUCUAAAACAGCUGACAAAUGGUUAUGUUGUGUUUGCAAUUACAGCUCUCUGAAAGUGAUAAAUUACUCUGAUUGUUCUUAAAUACAGGACUUCUACAUGUAUAAUUAAUACAUAGACUUGAGUAUGGGAUAGCUGGUGGGACACAUCCAGGUUCCGUUUACACCAUAACAGAUCUAGAGCAGCUCUAGCUGUCUCUGUUCAUGUAACACUGCUACUAGAUUGCUCUUGCACACUUGUAAUACCUUGCAGGAGUGUCCCCUGUCAGAGUAACAGAGAGCAUAGUAUGGCUCAUAUGUUUUAGUCCCCAC